rnacentral:sRNA from 1 species
AAACAUGAGGCAGCUGCCAGCCGGCCUGGGCAGUCUUGUCUGCCUCGGCUGUGAAGUGGGGAGGCUGGCAACAGUUUCCUUCAGCGCCCAGGAUGCAGCCGGCUAAGUCACCUCUGCCACAUCUGCUCUGGACGGCUCUCUCAGAGUUUCUCUGGAGCACAGUUGAUGAGAACCAUGGAGACCGAACUAGCGGCUCAAGGGUUUCACCUUGGCACACCCCUGACAGUCUGACUCCAUCUUCUCAGCCAUAUGGGCCUCCACAAGACGAAGCUGUGCCAUGCUGGGCAUGGGGCAAGGAGUGGGACACUGCUCCGUGGGCCACCUGGCCUCUCAGGGGACCUACGGGGUAGGGAGCCACGAGGCAAAAUGUCCGGUCCAGGUCCUGGAGGUUUGUUCCAAGUGCUCAGCCUCUGUCUGUGGUGUGGAGACUCUCGGGGUGAUGGUGUGGUGUUUGCGGCAGAGAUUGGACCAUGCUCAGGGGGAGAGGAAGGCAGGGAGGACAGCCCUGCCUCCUACAUCCCCGCAGUGACAGUUUUCUCAGGCACUGGGGAGUCGCCGCCCCUCCCU